rnacentral:rRNA from 1 species
CCGGUCCUUAUUCUUCCGGGGCCGUCAUCGACCCCAGGUAUUAACCAGAGCCAAUUCUUUCCGGACAAAAGUACUUUACAACCCGAAGGCCUUCUUCACACACGCGGCAUUGCUGGAUCAGGCUUUCGCCCAUUGUCCAAAAUUCCCCACUGCUGCCUCCCGUAGGAGUCUGGGCCGUGUCUCAGUCCCAGUGUGGCUGAUCGUCCUCUCAGACCAGCUACUGAUCGUCGCCUUGGUGGGCCUUUACCCCACCAACUAGCUAAUCAGACAUCGGCCGCUCCUAUAGCAUGAGGCCUUGCGGUCCCCCACUUUCACCCUCAGGUCGUAUGCGGUAUUAGCUAAUCUUUCGACUAGUUAUCCCCCACUACAGGGCACGUUCCGAUGUAUUACUCACCCGUUCGCCACUCGCCGGCAGGAGAAGCAAGCUUCUCCCCCGCUGCCGUUCGACUUGCAUGUGUAAGGCAUGC